rnacentral:misc_RNA from 1 species
GAUGAAGAACGUAGCGAAAUGUGAUAAGUAAUGUGAAUUGCAGAAUUCAGUGAAUCAUCGAAUCUUUGAACGCACAUUGCGCCCCCUGGUAUUCCGGGGGGCAUGCCUGUUCGAGCGUCAUUACAACCCUCAAGCUCUGCUUGGUAUUGGGCCCCGCCAGUUCUGGCGGGCCCUAAAGUCAGUGGCGGUGCCUUCCGGCUCCGAGCGUAGUAAUUCUUCUCGCUCUGGAGACCCGGUUGUGUGCUUGCCAACAACCCCCAAUUUUUUAAGGUUGACCUCGGAUCAGGCAGGGAUACCCGCUGAACUUAAGCAUAUCAAUAAGCGGAGGA